rnacentral:ribozyme from 16 species
UAUAUAUAUAUAUAUAUAUAUAUAUAUAUUUCGACGAGACGUGUAAUAUUGAAUAUUUCCUGAUCCGCAAUGCUUCCAAAAACAUCUAUAGCACCCCAUGAGCAAUGUACGACAUUUAAAGGGCCACGGAAAAGCUAU